GUCCCUGCCAGCAACUCUGGCCCACAGAUGUCUCCCGAUGCAGCCCCACCCUUGCUUGGUUGCUACAGUGGGCUCUGCAAAUGAUCUGCACGCCAGAGUCAUAAUCAACCUUAAGGGGAACUUCAGCGAAAGAAGUUAUGGAUUAACUUAAGGAAACAGAACAAAAACUGAACCCAAAGAAGGUACAGUAGCUACUUUCUUGAAAACAAAACAAUCUUUUUGUUGCUGCCAUUUGUCUGAAUUCUUCCUCCGGGCAAGCUGGACAGCUGCAUUGGAACCAAAGAAACCUGCAGACUCUGUAUCUUUACCCAGGGAUCGCUUCCUGGUGGUGAAUGUAAGCAGCUCUUCUGUGGCAUGGAGCAAUCACUAGGUGCAGUAACAGUACACUGCAAUGUGCAAAGAGGGAAAUGAAGACGAGCUCAUCCAAAGGAAACUACACAGGCAUUUUAGAUCAGCCCAAUGCAAUUAUCCAAGCUGGAAUCAUUCCAGGACACCAAGCCACACACUAAAGGGUACUUCAAAAUGCCAUCUUCUACCUGAAUGGAAUUGUGUUUCACAGAAACAGAAAGCCAACAGAGUGAAAAAUGGCCCAGCUCUCAAGGUUGGUAGGGAGAAAACACAGCCAGAAUACUGGAAGGAAGCAAACGUUUUAAUAAAAUUUUGGUUCAUAAAGUCUUACAGUCUCAGGAAGUACUAAUGAAGUUCAAGCUUGGAAAUGAGUCUUUUAAGUAUAAAUUGGAAAUCUUGAUGCAAACCAUGGAGUACAAUAGGGUGGAACUCACUCAGGGAGCUCCAGCUGAGAGGAAUGUGUAACUUAGUACAACAGUACCAGUACCUCAGGAGGAAGAAAAAGGAGACCACCACCAACACCCACCAUGGUGAAUACUUACAGGCAAAGCCCAUCAUUUCCAAGAGUUUUAAUAGCCACAAAUGUCUCUCAGCAUUUCCCUCCCUAAGGAAGACAAUAUCAGAGUACUGGCACAGGCUUCUUAAAAUUAUACUGGCAAAAGAUAAACAAAGCUCAAGAUAUAGAAAUAUAUUUUACACCAAAAGGAAAAGAAAAAAGAAAAACACACUGAAACCAAAUCCUCAUAUUUCUUGGCUCACAGUAGCAAGCUGACUAGUUCCCCAAAAUGAGCUUCCUGCAAAAUCACUCUGCUCUCACCACAGGCACCAUUUACCAACUGGGUGCCACAGACACCAGGCUGGCUCCUGAACUUCUCUCCUUCAAUUAAGCUACACAACCUGUUACCAUUUUGCCAAUGGACUCUAUUUACUUAGGUUCUGCGUAACUUGCCAAGUGCUCACCCUGCAGAAUUCCCAGCAAAGAGAAAGGAACGAUUGAGGGAAAUUUUUGUUAACAUCUUUUCUUUUAACUUUCCACAGCAGAGGGGAAUGCAUCAAUAUGGAGCAGAUGCGCUGAGACCAAAUGCUCUCUUCCUCAUGAUUACAGUUGGUUAUACCUGUGGAUAGGCAAGCUAUUUCUCCUGCAAAUGUGCAAGAGAGGGUAGUACUGACGUACAAUGCGCAGUCCUGGAGCCUUUGUUCCCACAUAAUAGGGUGCUUCAUUUCACAAGACCUGGCACAUAGAGAACGCUGAAGCAAACAGCCCUGUGCAGUUGGAAUCAUGAUCUGUCUGUAUGACUUACAGAAUGGCCCAGUUCUCGGCAAUGUUGACAUAAAUAUUGUGGAAUUUCUUAUUUGGAGUUGGAAAGUAAUGAUUCUUUCCACUUAAUGUGCUCAGUGACUCUGCACCCUAUUGUUUUCUGCCAUUUGAAAAUGCCCAAG
ensembl:lncRNA